rnacentral:rRNA from 1 species
GAUGAACGCUGGCGGCGUGCCUAAUACAUGCAAGUCGAGCGAAUGGAUUAAGAGCUUGCUCUUAUGAAGUUAGCGGCGGACGGGUGAGUAACACGUGGGUAACCUGCCCAUAAGACUGGGAUAACUCCGGGAAACCGGGGCUAAUACCGGAUAACAUUUUGAACCGCAUGGUUCGAAAUUGAAAGGCGGCUUCGGCUGUCACUUAUGGAUGGACCCGCGUCGCAUUAGCUAGUUGGUGAGGUAACGGCUCACCAAGGCAACGAUGCGUAGCCGACCUGAGAGGGUGAUCGGCCACACUGGGACUGAGACACGGCCCAGACUCCUACGGGAGGCAGCAGUAGGGAAUAUUGCACAAUGGACGAAAGUCUGACGGAGCAACGCCGCGUGAGUGAUGAAGGCUUUCGGGUCGUAAAACUCUGUUGUUAGGGAAGAACAAGUGCUAGUUGAAUAAGCUGGCACCUUGACGGUACCUAACCAGAAAGCCACGGCUAACUACGUGCCAGCAGCCGCCGUAA